rnacentral:ncRNA from 1 species
AAGGCCGCGAGGGCUUGUCCGGAGGAAGCCGGAGCGCAAACGUGCGAGGUGACGAACAGAAACUGCAUAGAAGGCCGAGGGAGCCGAGGCGAGCUGGCACCACACAGCGAAGCCCGACGGUACGGCGCCUACGGUAAAUGCAGCGCUUGUGCACGGAAACAUCGCGUU